rnacentral:misc_RNA from 1 species
UUUCCGUAGGUGAACCUGCGGAAGGAUCAUUAAUUAUAUAAGGCCGCAGGGCAAGCUUUCCGAAAGGAUCGAGCUUGCUGUGUGAACCCUACCUACCCUUGCUUUUUGCGUACCCAUUGUUUCCUCGGCAGGCUUGCCUGCCAGUAGGACCCUCUUAAACCCUUUGUAAUUGCAGUCAGCGUCAGAAACAACGUAAUCGUUACAACUUUCAACAACGGAUCUCUUGGUUCUG